GCAAGCAUGCACGCACCAAAAUUGGAAGAAUACUGAGAUUAUUAGCAUGGCUCGUGUGCAAAGAUGAUACAAAAAUUUGUGGAGCAUUCCCUAUUUUU
ensembl:snRNA U6 U6 spliceosomal RNA